UACGUAGGGACCAAGCGUUGUUCGGAUUUACUGGGCGUACAGGGAGCGUAGGCGGUUGGAUAAGCCCUCCGUGAAAUCUCCAGGCUUAACCUGGAAAGUGCAGAGGGGACUGUUCAGCUAGAGGAUGGGAGAGGAGCGCGGAAUUCCAGGUGUAGCGGUGAAAUGCGUAGAUAUCUGGAGGAACACCGGUGGCGAAGGCGGCAUCCUGGACCGGUAUUGACGCUGAGGCGCGAAAGCUAGGGGAGCAAACGGG
rnacentral:rRNA from 1 species